rnacentral:rRNA from 1 species
GAUGAACGCUGGCGGCGUGCUUAACACAUGCCAGUCGAACGGAAAGGCUCCUGCUUGCCGGGGUACUCGAGUGGCGAACGGGUGAGUAACACGUGGGUGAUCUGCCCUGCACUUCGGGAUAAGCCUGGGAAACUGGGUCUAAUACCGGAUAGGACCACAUUUUGGAUGGUGUGGUGGAAAGUUUUUCGGUGUGGGAUGAGCUCGCGGCCUAUCAGCUUGUUGGUGGGGUAAUGGCCUACCAAGGCGUCGACGGGUAGCCGGCCUGAGAGGGUGUACGGCCACAUUGGGACUGAGAGACGGCCCAGACGCCUACGGGAGGCAGCAGUGGGGAAUAUUGCACAAUGGGCGCAAGCCUGAUGCAGCGACGCCGCGUGGGGGAUGACGGCCUUCGGGUUGUAAACUCCUUUCGCUAGGGACGAAGCGCAAGUGACGGUACCUGGAGAAGAAGCACCGGCUAACUACGUG